rnacentral:rRNA from 1 species
CAGCAGCCGCGGUAAUACGUAGGGAGCAAGCGUUGUUCGGAAUUAUUGGGCGUAAAGAGCGCGUAGGCGGUUCGGUAAGUCUGACGUGAAAUCCCAGAGCUCAACUCUGGAACUGCGUUGGAUACUGCCGAGCUUGAGUGUGGGAGAGGAGAGUGGAAUUCCCAGUGUAGAGGUGAAAUUCGUAGAUAUUGGGAGGAACACCCGUGGCGAAGGCGGCUCUCUGGACCACAACUGACGCUGAGGCGCGAAAGCUAGGGUAGCAAACGGGAUUAGAUACCCCGGUAGUCCUAGCCGUAAACGAUGGGCACUAGGUGUUGGAGGUAUCGACCCCUCCAGUGCCGCAGCUAACGCAUUAGGUGCCCCGCCUGGGGAGUACGGUCGCAAGACUAAAACUCAAAGGAAUUGACGG